rfam:Musca domestica strain aabys unplaced genomic scaffold Scaffold19900, whole genome shotgun sequence.
GUGCCUAAAUUUAACGAGUAAGGAAAACCAUUAUGUCUUGCUAAUCGCUUGACAGAGCGCUUCUAGGCAGUGUGGAGUUUUGUCCCUUCAAACGGGGGCAUGUUUCACAUGAAGCACAAUUUUUGUAUGGGCACAGGUCGUCCCUUUGAACUUGGCUGUCAGAGGGCCCUCUACUCUUUGGGUCCUUUGCACAGGGGUUUGGGUGUAGCGAUCUGCCCG